CAGCAGUGCCUGAGUGGCAUCCCUGCUCACUCUGAAAUCAAAGUCAGGGAUGGGAAUAAAAGCAACAGAGACUUUGCUUGUACAAAACCAGCCCAGCACAAGGAAGUUAUCAGCAGCGGUGGACAUAGCCAGAGGAGCAAGGACAGUCAGAAAACCUGCUGGUCAAGUGGCAGCCCGGCUGUACCUCCUAGGUAAGCUUGUUGGCU
rnacentral:lncRNA from 1 species